GACCUCAUUUCCUUCCAUUGUUUUGUCUUCCUUUGGUAAGGUAUGGGUGUUUGAAUGGACACCCAACCAUGUCCUUUGAGUCCUUUCCUUAAGAUGCGUUAAGAGCAUAUUCACGCAGCGCUGUCUCGCGAGUGCAAUGCACGUUUUUGAAUUCCAGCAGUUGAGAAGAGAUUGAUCCCCGUCUGCUGAUUUAAACUGAUGGUCUGACAGAAAUAUUGUUGUGCGGAUUUACACUAAAACAGAAAGAGCCUGAACCGACCGUGUCACAAGUUUCCUUACAUCGCAAACAAAAAGAUGCAAGACUGCAAACUUUCCAGUUCUCCUGUGUACUGAUAAUCCGGUUUCCACCCAGUCCCAGGAGCUGCUGCAUGAAGUGAAGAUGCGGUUUAGGAAGGACCUUCAUCUUAAUCUAGAGACUGCUCUUCAAGUCCUGAACAGUUUAAAUUAAAUUUAUGCAUUUAGCAGACGGGACUUACAGAGCAUUCAGGCUAUCGAUUUUUUUACCUAUCAUGUGUUCCCGGGCAAUCGAACCCCUGACCUUGCGUUUAAUAGCACAAUGCUCUACCAAUUGAGCCACAGGAACACUACUCUUUACUUCAGCAAACUGACAAAAACACAAAAACUGUUCUUUUUUUCCUUAACACAACCAUUAGUUGCUUGGUUUGUUGAA